CCUACGGGGGGCAGCAGUGAGGAAUAUUGGUCAAUGGCCGAGAGGCUGAACCAGCCAAGUAGCGUGAGGGAAGACGGCCCUACGGGUUGUAAACCUCUUUUGUCGGGGAGCAAAGCGAGGCACGUGUAACCAAUUGAGAGUACCAGAAGAAAAAGCAUCGGCUAACUCCGUGCCAGCAGCCGCGGUAAUACGGAGGAUGCGAGCGUUAUCCGGAUUUAGUGGGUUAAAAGGGAGCGGAGGCGGAGGUGCAAGGCAGUGGUCAAAUUGCGGGGCUCAACCCCGUAUUGCCGUUGAAACUGCAUCCCUUGAGUGCGCGAGAAGUAUGCGGAAUGCGUGGUGUAGCGGUGAAAUGCAUAGAUAUCACGCAGAACUCCGAUUGCGAAGGCAGCAUACCGGCGCGCAACUGACGCUCAUGCACGAAAGCGUGGGUAUCGAACAGGAUUAGAUACCCGAGUAGUC
rnacentral:rRNA from 1 species